UUCCAUUAUGGUUUAUCAUAGGAUGUUGAAUACAGUUCCCUGUGCUGUACAGUAGGACCUUGUUGUUUACCAAUCCUAUCUAUAAUAGUUUGCAUUUGCUAAUCCUAAACUCCCAAUCCUUCCUUCCCCACCCCAUCUCCCCCUUGGCAACCAUAUGUCGGUUCUCUAUGUCUCCAACAGCAGAAUCUUUAUAAUUGAUAUCCCCAGUUAAGGAGAGCCUCCUUGGACGAGGGCUCAGCCCUCCUGCUUGCCUCACCUCUGUCUCCUGCUUAGAAUGAGAAGAUAGGGGGAGGGUUGGGAGUCUUUAGGGUCGAGAAAGAACCCUGUGGGUUGGUAGCUUCUAGUCUUGUAGUCUCCCUGGGACUAGCAAGUAGGUGAGAAAUGGAGUUGUGUUACUAACUGAGAUUAAGAAGAAAUGGUGCUCAGGACUUCCCUGGUGGUGCAGUGGUUAAGAACCCGCCUGCCAAUGCAGGGGACACGGGUUUGAGCCCUGGUCCAGGAAGAUCCCACAUGCCACGGAGCCACUAAGCCCAUGAGCCACAAAUACUGAGCCUGCACUCUAGAGCCUGCGAGCCACAACCACUGAGCCCAUGUGCCACAACUACUGAAGCCCACGCGCCUAAAGCCUGUGCUCCGCAACAAGAGAAGCCACGGCAAUGAGAAGCUCACAAACUGCAAUGAAGAGUACCCCCCGUGUGUGGCACGCAAAGGGACACCGUGUUUACAAAGGCAUGAUCAACAUCUCAGCGCCCAUUCUGUGUGUCCUUGAACGGCUAAAGGUGAAUAGGGCUGCCCCCCACCCCCACCCCCUCCGGAGACCUGAGCGUGCCGUGGAGGGAGUGCAAGCUUUCUCAACCGCAGCCUCCUCCUGCGGCUGCGAAGGAGCUGCCCUUUCGGGCACAUCCACCCCUUACAUCUUCCCACCCCAGGCACUGAGGACUCUGCCUUCUUCUCGUCCUCCCCCUCCUCCCUAACCCACACCAGGAGGAUCUGAUAACCAGUCAUUUACACUAGAUAACUGAUAGUCCGGUUACACUGUAACUGGACCGCCUUCCACCGAGGUGCUGCCUCUACCGGUAUUGACUUGUUCCGACUUUUAUCUCCGAAUGGGGCCGACAGGCUCCCGGCCCUGUGCCUCUCCGACUUCCACCGAGGCUCCCUAAGGACAGGGAGUCCUGACCGCGUCCCCGCAGGGGCCGAUGUGCUCAGUGGGCGCAGCGUCUUUAAAUACAUGCCAUAGAUUUUUAGUCAUUCUUAGAAUUAAUCACGGGUACAGCACGGAAACUCUGACGGGAUACAGACAAUGCUGUGAUGGGAGAAAGAUGCGCGGCGGGGCGCGGGGGCGGAUUGAUCUGUCGGGUGUCGGUUCCCGUCCUUCCCUGAGGGGAGGUGUGUCACUAUCCAGAGCUGACAUGUAAAAAAUAGUCAUACUAAAUAAAGGUUUAAACAUA